rnacentral:rRNA from 1 species
UACGGGGGGUGCAAGCGUUGUCCGGAUUUAUUGGGUUUAAAGGGUGCGCAGGCGGCCUUGUAAGUCAGUGUUUAAAUUUAGCCGCUUAACGGUUAGUAUGGCAUUGAUACUGUGAGGCUUGAGUGAAGUAGAGGCAGGCGGAAUUUAUGGUGUAGCGGUGAAAUGCAUAGAUACCAUAAAGAACACCGAUAGCGAAGGCA